rnacentral:rRNA from 1 species
ACGGGAGGCAGCAGUGAGGAAUAUUGGUCAAUGGGCGUAAGCCUGAACCAGCCAAGUAGCGUGAGGGAUGACUGCCCUACGGGUUGUAAACCUCUUUUGUUUGGGAAUAAAGUAGACUACGUGUAGUCUUUUGCAUGUACCUUUCGAAUAAGCAUCGGCUAAUUCCGUGCCAGCAGCCGCGGUAAUACGGAAGAUGCGAGCGUUAUCCGGAUUUAUUGGGUUUAAAGGGUGCGCAGGCGGGCUGCUAAGUCUCCGGUGAAAUGUCAGGGCUCAACCUUGGCACUGCCGGAGAUACUGGCGGCCUUGAGAGUGGCGGAGGUAUCCGGAAUGUGUGGUGUAGCGGUGAAAUGCAUAGAUAUCACACAGAACACCGAUUGCGAAGGCAGGAUACCAUACCAUAUCUGACGCUCAGGCACGAAAGCGUGGGGAUCGAACAGGAUUAGAUACCCUGGUA